rnacentral:rRNA from 1 species
UACGAAGGGGGGCUAGCGUUGCUCGGAAUCACUGGGCGUAAAGCGCACGUAGGCGGAUCUUUAAGUCAGGGGUGAAAUCCCAAGGCUCAACCUUGGAACUGCCUUUGAUACUGGGGGAUCUCGAGUCCGGAAGAGGUUGGUGGAACUGCGAGUGUAGAGGUGAAAUUCGUAGAUAUUCGCAAGAACACCAGUGGCGAAGGCGGCCAACUGGUCCGGAACUGACGCUGAGGUGCGAAAGCGUGGGGAGCAAACAGG